UUAGCCAUGCUAGUUGCACGAGUUGAGGCUCGUAGCAGAUAGCUCAGUAACACGUGGCCAAACUACCCUCUGGAGGGGACCAACCUCGGGAAACUGAGGCUAAUUCCCCAUACUGCUCGACGCCUGGAACUGGCGCGAGCUCGAAAUGCCCCGGCGCCAGAGGAUGUGGCUGCGGCCGAUUAGGUAGACGGUGGGGUAACGGCCCACCGUGCCAGUAUCGGUACGGGUUGUGAGAGCAAGAGCCCGGAGACGGUAUCUGAGACAAGAUACCGGCCCUACGGGGCGCAGCAGGCGCGAAACCUUUACACUGCACGCCAGUGCGAUAAGGGGACUCCAAGUGCGAGGGCAUAGAGCCCUCGCUUUUCUGCACCGUAAGGUGGUGCAGGAACCAAGUGCUGGCAAGACCGGUGCCAGCCGCCGCGUAAUACCGGCAGNACAAGUGAUGGCCGUCUUAUUGGCCUAAAGCGUUCGUAAGUUGGCAGCAAGUCCAUCGGGAAAUCUUCCCGCUUAACGGGGAGGCGUCCGGUGGAAACUGCNUGGNUUUGGGACCGGAAGACCAGAGGGGUACCGUCNGGGGUAGGAGUGAAAUCCCGUAAUCUUGGACGGACAACCGGUGGGAAAAGCGCC
rnacentral:rRNA from 1 species